rnacentral:rRNA from 1 species
UACGAGGGGGGCGAGCGUUGUUCGGAAUUAUUGGGCGUAAAGGGUGCGUAGGCGGUUUGGUAAGUCUUUUGUGAAAUCUCUGGGCUCAACUCAGAGUCUGCAAGGGAAACUGCCGGGCUGGAGUGUGGGAGAGGUGAGUGGAAUUUCCGGUGUAGCGGUGAAAUGCGUAGAUAUCGGAAGGAACACCUGUGGCGAAAGCGGCUCACUGGACCACAACUGACGCUGAUGCACGAAGGCUAGGGGAGCAAACAGG